UCCCUGGUAGCUCAGUUGAUAAAGAGUCUGCCUGCAGUGCAGGAGACCCAGGUUCAACCCCUGGAGGGGGAA
rnacentral:tRNA from 1 species